GAUCUUUGAUGUUACAGUCAAAGGAGCACAUGCCAGAAAAUGUUUUGCUCUCUCCACUUCAUCAUCUAGCUGUGUUUGUUGAUAUUUUCCCAUCAGGCCCGACAACAAACAGCUGAUUAACUCAUUAGCCGAGAGCAUCAAAGCACAUGGCGAGAGCAUGAAAUCUCCUGCUGUGUCCUCCAGUCACUCCUCACAGCUCGGUGGUUUCUGCAGGGCCUGUCUGGGUGCGAUCUCUCUGUCCUGCACAACUGCCCGUCUCGAGGACUUGUGGGCAGAAAUGUGCCCACUCUUUCUUCACCCAACUUUUCCAUGUUUAUGGCUGUGCCGCUGCCAGGAGCUCCUCGAGGCAACACGAUGUGGAGGGUCUCCUGUGGAGGAUUUCAGCCCUGUGAUCACCUGCAGAUACCCAUCAGGAAAAACAAGUCGCUUCCCUCCUCCUGGGAGUGAUGGUGGGGAAGGGGUGGAGGUGACCUCCAUGCUCCUACAAAAGGAAAGCACAGCAACGUGUGACCGUCCUCUUCACAUCAAGGAGUCAUGGUGGGAUGUCUCUGUGGGUUAUGGGUGCAAGAAAAGAAAGGAAAUGAUGUGUGUCAACCACAAACUAUCGCCCUUGGGGUUCAAAUGUUGAGGAUGGAGGAAAGCCAGUCUAACUUCUCCCUGUAAACUGCCCAGGCACGUGAAAUAAAAAUUAUCUGAGGAUCUGAAAACCAGCCACUGGUCCUGGGAAGGUGAUGGUCAGCGUGGUCAUGGGUCCGUGGACCACUUGAAUCCUCCAUGCUCACCACAUCAGCAGUUAUGGCUCUGCUUCUUUCUUCCCAAAGUUCAUCAAUUUGCACCUUUCUGUCUUUGUGCAAACACAAGCACUGCUGUGAGGCACGUGUUCCAGCAGGAUUUAGAAGAUCUCAGCUGUGAGGACUGUAAAUGGACUUACCUUUUUAAAGAACACCCGAGGCUGUGUGCCAUCAAAGCAUGGCAUCUUCAAAACCGGCACAAAGCAGGUAGGUAGGGCCACCUAAGCCAGCCAAACGUGCUAUAAAAGCAAGUUGUAAAAGAAACAAAAUAUUAAGCCACAGAAUUUCUUCAAAUUUUAGCAAGUUUUAUGUAUGUGUAUGGUUGGCACUGCUCUGUUAUUCCUGCCAAGCACUCAAUUAGCACUUGAGUUAAUAAGAUGUUUUAAUAGCUGUUAAAUUAAUCAACAACUCUGACACUGCUUCCCAGUGUUUUCCACGGGAAAGCCUUCUUUCAGCCCGGUUCCUAUGUUAUCAGUGUCACUAAUUAUUUGUGUUUAUUCUCUUUACUACACUUAUUUGACUUCACUUGAAAUUAGAUGCAGUGAUAGGGGCUGUGUUUUCGUGUUUUUCUGUAAUGUGCUGAAUAGAUGAGGAUUAGAGCUCCCAGCUAUGAGAAAAUGAGUACUCAUAAGCGUUUGUUCAAACAGAAAUCACAGAGCCUUUUUGACAACUGUCAUAAUCCCUUUGAUUUGCUCCUCAUCGGUGCUUUUGUGAGUUUGUUCACGGAAACGUUUGCCAAAAUGAAAGUACUGCUAAUAGAGGUGAAAACAUGUAACAGCCCCGGAAUACUUGUGAAAAUGUUUGGGCUGCCCUGUGCCACAGCUAUUUUUUUUUUUUUCUGGUGGUCUGACAGCAAUCCAGGCAGGAAAAAAAACAAUAGUUUGGGGUUGAGCUCAUCAGUCCCUCAAAACAGCAAGUGUGCUAAAAAUAGAAGGAAAACACCAAGUAGAAGAAAUUUACAAAUAACUGAAGUAUGUCCCCCAGACCAUGGAUUUAGAAUUGUUUCAUUUGGGAAAUGCUAAAGAACAAAAGCAAGCACAUGACCUGCGGGCAGCUCGUGGCUCCGCACCAGCUGGGUGAGGGUGGUGGGAUCCCAUCGAGGCUGGGAGCGGGGUCGGAGCACAAGCGGGUUGCUGUAGGGCUCGGUAUCUCCCCGGGUUCAUUCAAGCCCAUGCUUCUGCUGUGAGUGGAAUAGCCUAGGGCUGGAGCUGCGCUGAGAGCAAUGAAAAGCUGUCAUAAAAUUAUGUCAUGUGCUGAAUGUGCCAGCCUGUCGUGUAAUAAUAGCUAAAACUUUCUGUAAUUAAAACAAGUAGCUAGUUAUGGUGUCUGACUGUGAUCAAAGCUCUUUUGUCUGCUCUGACAGUUGGCACAUGUGAAAGAUUUUGGCUUACACGGAAAAUACUGUUGUGGUUUUUCUCUCGGUUUUAAAUGGCAAGAAACAUACAUCUGAGAUUAUCCCUAAACUGAAAGAAAACAGUAACGGGAAACUGAGAACCAGAAUGUGCAUGACGUAAAACGUCUACGAUGUCUGGCAGAAGCAGCCCCUGUGCCCUGAGACCGUGCCUUCGGAGCAGUUGACCCGCUGCUGCAACGCAAGCAGUUGAGUUGUGUCGUUCUGUUUUUCUGCAGAGAUGGGAAUGAGGCUUGUGGGAGCAUUCCCAAAGGUACCGCGCUGCCUUUGUAAAGUAAGAAUUGCUUUUGCAUAGCAAAUAUUUGUCUGAAUUGUGACAAACCAAUUGUCUCCCAGUAAAGGAUUUUUUUUCGUUACUUGGACUGUAAAAUAUUUGAGAUGUUUGAUGGAUUGAAGCUACCUUUCUGCUUGUGACAUUUACAUUAUUUUUCUGUACUUAUGUCUGGUAUCUAUAUUACAAAAUACAGGGGUUGAUGAGUAAAUAUAAACUGGUUUUGCCCUCAGAUUCCUCUUCAUCUCCAAAAAAAACUCCAAACUAAUCCAGAAUUCCUCUUGCAUCGCUGAAAACAUCUACUUCCGCUUAGAAGACUCUGGGAGGACAAAUAUAAAGAAGCUGUGAAAAAACAGAUGUGAACUGAUUGGCUGAGGAACAUCAGCCAAUAAUGCAAUGUCUUAAACAUUAUUUUAGGCAACAAAACAUAAUCUGAGGGAAAUGACCAUCAGAGCGUACUGCUGAGCACUAGGAUUUUUCCAUCCUUUUCCUCAAGUUCUGAGGUAUGUUGUGUGAAGAUUUCCUUCUUCCACAUUUUGUGUGCAGUUGUGUCUUUCUGUGUUGCUUCUAAUUGCAAAUUGCAUCCUGUGAACUCAGUGGGCAUGGGCUGAGUUUUUCCCCAAAUUCAGGUAUGUUUGACGUGGAUCUUCUCAUCUCGGUCACAGCGAGCAGAAAGGAUUGUGAACCCUUUGCUCUACCUUCAAAAGUCACCCUGCAUGCAGGUCAGCCUCCGCCUGCUGACCAGAGAUUUUUCUACCUUUGCAGUUUAUCAGAGAAGAUAGGAAAUCUUUCUCCUCGUUUGCAUAACUGGCAAAUUAAAUGAUCUUCAGUCAUCUUGGGCCACCUCUGCUUUAGAGGACUUCUCUGGGAAUGGCUGGGAGCUCUUUGUGUGGUGCUUGGAGUGCCCACAGGCUCCCUGGACCUUUUGGUCCUGGAGCAAACUGCCAAGUGCAGGACCCCGUUGUCCCUGGAGCCUUGGCCAACAUUCACUGCCAAAUCGUGUUGAGUGUCAUGAGGGUCUCCAGUUGUUUGUAUCUUGGUAUUGCCCCGUGUCGACUGCGCCUUACCCACUUUCACUCUUGGCUCCACACAAUUCUGGGUGGCCAUCCAGGGUGCCAGCACGGUGUGCUCACGUGGAGAGAGCAGUAGCACGAGAGCUUUGGUCCUUACCGAAACAAACCCUCGUAGCAAACAUGAUGAACCACAGCACCGUGCAGGCUGCAGGCAACGGUGUCGUUCACAUAUCCAGGGACAUUGCUUCCAGGCAGUGACAGGUAGCAUUACCGUCAUGUCCAGCACCAACAAGCAGUGUGCUGGGACAUUCCCUUGUCCCUGGCAGGAAGCUGUUGACCUAUGGAGCUUUCUUAUUAGAUUAAUUUAUCUGCAGCUCACCUUCAGUGAAUGCUUUUAAUUGACAGCCUGAGUGAUCCACCUCUGAUGGAAGAUGAGCAUUGGCAUCUUGUAGACUGGUACCUGAGGCAGGAGACAUUUGGAAAGAAGCGUAUUAGCUGUAGGUGCCAAUGCAGGGGGACUGAGCCUGCUGUCCUCAAAAAGGAAGGGGUCACAGGCUGUGGCUGGACCUGUUUCUGCUCCUAUGCUUGGUCUGAGUGCCUGAAAUAUCAUAAACGGUGAUGGAGAUUAUUCCCUGGUGCCCAGGUACAGGCAAUAGGGAAGGGUCCCUCGCCAAAAUCCCCGUCCCGCUGGGUGUUUGUACACUCAUUGUGUGGACGUGCGUGUUGGCUAUUCACCGCUAAGAACCUUGCUUACCAUAAGCAACCUCUCUUUUUGCUUACAUAGCCUUCUGUGGAGUUCUCUCGAGUCCUCGGGGAUUCAUUGCACUUGAUAAAACAAAAGAAUUGUUUGGGUACUAUUGUAGUUUGAAGUGUUUCUCAAUAUUGUAUUGUCUCACACCAGGAUACGGUUAAGUAGGAGAGAGAUGGAAGCUGUAUUUCAAGCUGGGCUUGGGAAAAUUAUACUGUAAUUUGCAUGGCUGCACUAGAUACAGGAAUCCACUGUGCACAGCUUAGCACUUUCUCAAGCUGAGAAACUCCAAAGCAGAAAGGUUCCCUGAAACCUGAAGCUAAACAAAAUGUUGCUCUUUUGCACCGUUUAAAUUUUUGAGUAAUGUGGGCAUUGUACAGAUGGUUAGGGCAACAAGGUUCCUGGGGCAGGUCUAGGAAAAUGGUACCUUCCGUGAUAGUAAUUGGAUUUUUUCUGUGGUAUUGAACAUGUUGAGUAUUGGCUUUCUGUGCUACUGCUGUAUUGACUCUUAGCUUUUUUUGCCAGAAUAUAGCUUUUCUUUUUAUUAUUAUCUGUGUCUGUGUGUGUAUAAAUGUAGACAUGCAUAUGCACAUAUGUGUAUUUAUGUACAUAUAUACACAUGGCCUGGGGGACUUGUCUGUAUCUGUAUAAAUUCCAUUUGGAUUCUAAAACUUAAA